CCUGUGGAAAACAAAUAGCGUCACUACGUUGUCCAAAUACUACACAAUAGAAGUGGGGGACUCAAAUCACAUAACUUGACUCGAGUUUAAGAUAUUGAGUGCAAAGUCGUGAAUGAAUACGAAUGCAGUUGGAUUUUCUUAACACCAAAAACGACUUGACUCGCCUUGCUGGAAAUGUAGUGGGGACUUGACUUCUUCACUUGUUAGAUCUGUACUACAGUCCCUUGAGACUUGCUUGAAUGGACUUAAGAAUCACUUCUGACUUGCACAUAUGUGACUUACUUCCAUUGCACCACUGGUACCCAACAUGACUUGAGGGGCGGGUGCGCCGCUUUCAUUUCAAUCCAAUUUUCUUAGACAAAACAAGAAUCUCAACCAGCAGCUUGCUUUUUUUCCGCCCCAGAGGCGGCUGCGCCACCAACAACUUUCCUCUGAUUGUUACCAUGUGACCAAAGCUGUGAUAAGUAACAGCCUGACUGCUGCCACACAGAACCUAAGACAAACACUUUGGGUUGCUUCGCUUAAAAGCGUGAAAUUCGGCGGGCCGUUUGAACUUUCCUCAAAGUCGCAACUACCCCAACUGAUUUCAUGCUGGCGCAAAUGGGUCAGGCUGGGUAAUUUUGCUUGUGAAUGAGUUAAUGGCAUUUCCCUCAAAAGGAAUGGAUUCCGUCAUCACCCUGCCAUACUGUUUCUUCAUUCCCUAUGAAGAAUAUGGGAGAUUGUUGGCCCUUAUAGCAGCGGUCCCCAACCCCUGGGCCCCGAGUCUUCUUUUCAGCCUUCCUGACUAGAUUUCAUCCCAGGCAUAUAAAGAUAACAGUUAGUUGUCCCGUGUACGAUUAUUGCUCACCACAAUGACAACCACCGGAUGUAGAAGUGUUUGACUGGCCGCCUGUAUUGCUGCAAAUGUGGUCUCCAGUUGAGCCAAGUCGGAGACAUUCAU